CGACUUAGCUCAGUAGGUAGAGCAACUGACUUGUAAUCAGUAGGUCACCAGUUCGAUUCCGGUAGUCGG
rnacentral:tRNA from 62 species